rnacentral:rRNA from 1 species
GACGAACGCUGGCGGCGUGCUUAACACAUGCAAGUCGAACGGAAAGGCCCUGCUUUUGUGGGUUGCUCGAGUGGCGGACGGGUGAGUAAAAGGUGAGUAACCUGCCCGUUAAUUUGGGGUAACUUCAGGAAACUGGGGAUAAUACCGGAGAGGGGCUGCGGCUGAAUGGUGGGGGUUGGGAAGUUUCGGCGGUUGGGGAUGGACUCGCGGCUUAUUAGGUUGUUGGUCGGGUAGGGGCUCGCCAAGGCUUUGAUGGGAAGGCGGCCUGAGAGGUUGACCGGCCACAUGGGGACUGAGAUACGGCCCAGACUCCUACGGGAGGCAGCGGCGGGGAAUAUUGCACAAUGGGCGGAAGCCUGAUGCAGCAACGCCGCGUGCGGGAUGACGGCCUUCGGGUUGUAAACCGCUUCCGCCUGUGACGAAGCGUGAGUGACGGUACUGGGUAAAGAAGCACCGGCUAACUACGUG